GCGUGCUUUACACAUGCAAGUCGAGCGAGGCCACCCGCAAGGGUGAGUCGAGCGGCGAACGGGUGAGUAACGCGUGGAUGACCUGCCCUUGAAUGGGGAAUAACCCGGGGAAACUCGGGCUAAUACCGCAUACGACCGAGAGGUGAAAGGGGGCUCGCAAGGGCUCUCGUUCGAGGAGGGGUCCGCGUUCGAUUAGCUAGUUGGUAGGGUAAUGGCCUACCAAGGCGACGAUCGAUAGCCGGCCUGAGAGGGUGAUCGGCCACACUGGAACUGAGACACGGUCCAGACUCCUACGGGAGGCAGCAGUGGGGAAUUUUGCGCAAUGGGCGAGAGCCUGACGCAGCAACGCCGCGUGGAGGAUGAAGGUCUUUGGAUUGUAAACUCCUGUCAGCGGGGAAAAAGCGACUCGACCUAAUACGUCGGGGAGUUGAUUGUACCCGCAGAGGAAGCCCCGGCUAACUCUGUGCCAGCAGCCGCGGUAAUACAGAGGGGGCGAGCGUUAUUCGGAAUUAUUGGGCGUAAAGGGCGCGUAGGCGGCGUUUCAAGUGACGGGUGAAAUCCCUCGGCUUAACCGAGGAACUGCCUGUCAGACUGGAAGGCUUGAGACCGGGAGAGGUGAGUGGAAUUCCCAGUGUAGCGGUGAAAUGCGUAGAUAUUGGGAGGAACACCAGUGGCGAAGGCGGCUCACUGGACCGGUACUGACGCUGAGGCGCGAAAGCGUGGGGAGC
rnacentral:rRNA from 1 species